CCCUUAGAUGUUCUGGGCCGCACGCGCGCUACACUGAUGCAUUCAACGAGUUUCUUCCUGGUCCGAGAGGAAUGGGUAACCUUUUGAAAGUGCAUCGUGAUAGGGAUAGACUAUUGCAAUUAUUGGUCUUCAACGAGGAAUUCCUAGUAGACGUAGUUCAUCAGACUGCAUCGAUUACGUCCCUGCCCUUUGUACACACCGCCCGUCGCUACUACCGAUCGAAUGGUUUAGUGAGUUGUUGGGACUGGCACUGGGGGACUGGCAACAGUCCGCUUGAGCCGGGAACUUCUGCAAACUUGAUCAUUUAGAGGAAGUAAAAGUCGUAACA
rnacentral:rRNA from 1 species